rnacentral:tRNA from 1 species
CAGAAUAUAGUUUAUAAAAAAUUUUAAUUUUGGAGAUUAAAGAUAAGAGUUUAAAUCUUUAUUCUGA